UACGAAGGGGGCUAGCGUUGUUCGGAAUUACUGGGCGUAAAGCGCACGUAGGCGGAUAUUUAAGUCAGGGGUGAAAUCCCAGAGCUCAACUCUGGAACUGCCUUUGAUACUGGGUAUCUUGAGUAUGGAAGAGGUAAGUGGAAUUGCGAGUAUAGAGGUGAAAUUCGUAGAUAUUCGCAGGAACACCAGUGGCGAAGGCGGCUUACUGGUCCAUUACUGACGCUGAGGUGCGAAAGCGUGGGGAGCAAACAGG
rnacentral:rRNA from 1 species